GACGAACGCUGGCGGCGUGCUUAACACAUGCAAGUCGAACGGAAAGGCCCUGCUUUUGUGGGGUGCUCGAGUGGCGAACGGGUGAGUAACACGUGAGUAACCUGCCCUUGACUUUGGGAUAACUUCAGGAAACUGGGGCUACUACCGGAUAGCAGCUCCUGUUGCAUGGUGGGGGUUGGAACGUUUCGGCGGGUGGGGAUGGACUCGCGGCUUAUCAGCUUGUUGGUGGGGUAGUGGCUUACCAAGGCUUUGACGGGUAGCCGGCCUGGGAGGGUGACCGGCCACAUUGGGACUGAGAGACGGACCAGACUGCUACGGGGGGCAGCAGGGGGGAAUAUUGCACAAUGGGCGGAAGCCUGAUGCAGCAACGCCGGGUGCGGGAUGACGGCCUUCGGGGUGUAAAACGCUUUCGCCUGUGACGAAGCGUGAGUGACGGUAAUGGGUAAAGAAGCACCGGCUAACUACGUG
rnacentral:rRNA from 1 species